rnacentral:rRNA from 1 species
GCUUACGGCCACACCUCCCUGAGCACACCUGAUCUCGGAAGCUAAGCAGGGUCGGGCCCGGUUAGUACUUGGAUGGGAGACCGCCUGGGAAUACCAGGUGAUUUAAGCC